rnacentral:SRP_RNA from 1 species
ACCGGGCGUGGUGGUGCGCACCUGUAAUCCCAGGUACUCAGGAGGCUUAGGCAGGAGAAUCACUUGAACCUGGGAGGCGGAGAUUGCAGUGAGCCGAGAUCGUGCCACUGCACUCCAGCCUGGGUGAAAGAGACUCAAAACAAAAAAAAAAUAAUAAUAAGUCUGGCUUUAGAGCCUUUUUUUUUUUUUUUAAGAGGGAAUCUCGUUCUUGUCACCCAGGCUGGAGUGCAAUGGCGCAAUCUUGGCUCACUGCAAUCUCCGCCUCCGGGGUUCAAGCGAUUCUCCUGCCUC